UGGCUAAUGUAAUUAGACAUCACAACUUCUCUAGCUGAGCUAAGUUCUAGGUCACAGAUAGUCCCACUGGGUAGCCAGUUAGCGGUUCACCACGGGGCCAAAUCACUGUGUGGCAAGAAUGGAGCAGAGAAGGCUUCGAAUCAGUUUUGCUUUAUGAUAAAAAUAUAAUCAUAUGAGCAGCACCUCUCAGUGCCUGUGUCCCCGAGUAGAGAUAUAGCCAAAGUAUCUGUCCAGAAACAUCAUCAUCAAAAGGCAAAGAGACAAAAACAACCCCCAACGAAACAAAAUAACAUCAACAACAACCAAACAUCAACCCACAGCGUUUCUUCAGUUGCUCAUGCAUUUAGGUGACAUUUAUGAAGCAGCGUGUGUCAAAGAUGCAUUGAAUAGAUAGACAUGGAAAAGUGAAAGCAAGGAAGAAGAAUUGAGAAGAUAAAGAUGCCGCCGCUGAUGGUAGCAUCUUAGGCAUGACUGUGAAUUCUGUUGUUUAUAUCCAAGAAUCAAUAAAACUAAGGACAA
ensembl:lincRNA